GGAUGUGAGGGUGAUCUGGCCACGACAUCUGUCACCCCAUUGAGCACCAGCAUUGAUUCGGCAGAUCUGGCUGGCUAGCGGGUGUCCCCUUCCUCCCUCACGGCUCCAUGUGCUUCCCUCCCGAAGCUGUGCGCUCAGGUGAAGAGGACAACUGUCCCUGAGAGAGGAGAGGACUGUUCUUCGGUCAAGGGUAUACGAGGAGCUGCACUCCCCAGGUAGGACCUCCAAACAAGCUCUCAAGACUAUCUAAAGUUUACAGGUCAGGAGACUUAAUGUUACGAUGGCAGUCCCCACUAAAUGCAUCUACAGGGUGCCUGGGUGG
rnacentral:snRNA from 1 species